UACGGGGGGGGCGAGCGUUGUUCGGAAUUACUGGGCGUAAAGGGUGCGUAGGCGGUGCUCUAAGUCGGAUGUGAAAACUCUGGGCUCAACCCAGAGCCUGCAUCCGAAACUGGAGUGCUAGAGUUCUGGAGGGGGUAGCGGAAUUCCUGGUGUAGCGGUGAAAUGCGUAGAUAUCAGGAGGAACACCGGUGGCGAAGGCGGCUACCUGGACCGGUACUGACGCUGAGGCGCGAAAGCUAGGGUAGCAAACAGG
rnacentral:rRNA from 1 species